rnacentral:rRNA from 1 species
UACGUAGGCAGCAAGCGUUGUUCGGAAUUACUGGGCGUAAAGAGUGUGUAGGCGGUGCUCUAAGUUCGGUGUGAAAUCUCCCGGCUCAACUGGGAGGGUGCGCCGGAAACUGGAAUGCUUGAGCGUGGGAGAGGAAAGCGGAAUUCCUGGUGUAGCGGUGAAAUGCGUAGAUAUCAGGAGGAACACCUGCGGUGUAGACGGCUUUCUGGACCAUUGCUGACGC